CGUCGUCCGCAUACUUUUAGUUUUCGCACUCUAACUUUAGUAAAAGUGAAUGGAAAUCUAUGAAAUUUUAACACAAGGUUUAUGACCACAAAAGGAAGGUUGGUAUUGAUUUUGGGAGUUUUGGUCCCAACAUUUUAGGAAUUAAGGGCCAAAAAGGGCCCAAAUAAGCAUUUUCUUGGUUUUCGCACUAUAACUUUAGUUUAAGUUAAUAGAAAUCUAUGAAAUUUUGACACAAGGUUUAUGACCACAAAAGAACGGUUGGAUUGAUUUUGGGAGUUUUGGUUUCAACAGUUUAGGAAUUAGGGG
rnacentral:lncRNA from 1 species